ACCUUCUUACUUAAGCUCUCUACUAAAAUUGCAGAAACUAGUAUCAUGUCUUUGUAUUGGUAAUAAAACCAGCAGAAUAAACUCAAGAAGAAAAGUAACUAUAUCAGAUAGUAGAAAAACUGAAAUGAACCUCUUAAGUCUGGCAUACUUUGUUUGAAGAUUUGGGAUGAGAAUA